UACGUAGGGGCCGAGCGUUGUCCGGAUUUAUUGGGCGUAAAGAGCGUGUAGGCGGCCGUACAGGUCAGCUGUGAAAACUCGAGGCUCAACCUCGAGACGUCGGUUGAAACCGUACGGCUAGGGUCCGGAAGAGGAGAGUGGAAUUCCCGGUGUAGCGGUGAAAUGCGCAGAUAUCGGGAAGAACACGCGUGGCGAAGGCGGCUCUCUGGGACGGUACUGACGCUGAGACGCGAAAGCGUGGGGAGCGAACAGG
rnacentral:rRNA from 1 species